UACAGAGGGUGCGAGCGUCAAUCGGAAUUACUGGGCGUAAAGCGCACGUAGGUGGCGACGUAAGUCGGGUGUGAAAGCCCCGGGCUCAACCUGGGAAUUGCAUUCGAGACUGCAUUGCUGGAGUACGGAAGAGGAGGGCGGAAUUCCCGGUGUAGCGGUGAAAUGCGUAGAUAUCGGGAGGAACAUCAGUGGCGAAGGCGGCCCUCUGGUCCAGUACUGACACUCAAGUGCGAAAGCGUGGGGAGCAAACAGG
rnacentral:rRNA from 1 species